rnacentral:rRNA from 1 species
UGGGGAAUAUUGCACAAUGGAGGGAACUCUGAUGCAGCGACGCCGCGUGAACGAAGAAGGCUUUCGAGUCGUAAAGUUCUUUUAUAUGGGAAGAUAAUGACGGUACCAUAAGAAAAAGCCCCGGCUAACUACGUGCCAGCAGCCGCGGUAAUACGUAGGGGGCUAGCGUUGUCCGGAAUCACUGGGCGUAAAGGGUUCGCAGGCGGAAAUGCAAGUCAGGUGUAAAAGGCAGUAGCUUAACUACUGUAAGCAUUUGAAACUGCAUAUCUUGAGAAGAGUAGAGGUAAGUGGAAUUUUUAGUGUAGCGGUGAAAUGCGUAGAUAUUAGGAAGAACACCAGUGGCGAAGGCGACUUUCUGGACGAACACUGACGCUGAGGCGCGAAAGCCAGGGGAGCGAACGGG